CUAUAUGAAUUACUAAUAGAAACGUUAACAGCUAACAUAAAGAAUUAAUUAAUAAAAAAAUGAUGAAUAAAAGUACCAUGGCAUAGUCAAACGUUCCAGCUUCUUCUCACAACCCAUUCUCUUCUUUCUUUUUUUUUUCAAUCUUCCUUCUUCUUUCACUCAGUUUCAAACGAAACAAAAAUAUCCCAUGCCGACAAGUUACGCGUCACAAAGAUCUGAAAACCACAACAUAAUAAAUCCAGAUCAAAGAUUAAAAGGUCAGAGAAGGGUACCGUCGAAUUCGGAAAAGAGGAAGGAUGCAUCGUGGAAGAAGAAUGAUCUGCGACUGCUUGUGAAUGGAUGGAGUGGAUGGCGCGGUUGUACAGAUCUGUUAAGGGGUCGUCGGAUAUGGGUUUGUUCAGCGGUUGAACGGCCGGAGGGGAUACACGCGCGAGAUUGACGGUGGCGUGUGGGUUGCGGACUCAUCGGAUUUCGUGGUAUUGGUUUCCUUUUUCCAAUUUUGUGCUCUGUUCAUGAGGUUUCAUCAAUACCUGUCCAUGUAAAGAAAGAGAAAACAGAAGAUGUAUAGGUGCGCUGUGGUUGCUGUUCGCGAGCGGUUGGAGAUCGGUUGAGGUGGAGAAUGCCGGUUUGAGCGGGCGACGGAUCUGGUUCGAUUCGUGUCGGAGAGUCAUCGAUACAUGGUCCAGCGGCUUUGAUUUCACCAUCUGUGUUAUCUUGUUUUCCUUUCUUUAAUUUAUGACCGGAUCUGCAGCGGCGGUGUUGUUCGUGACUGAGUUGGCACCGAUUCAGCUUUCUCUACUUCUUUCUUUUUUUACCUACAACUGAAAUUUACAUUGUAUGGAUGCAGUGUGUCUACAUAUUAUAGAUUAUUGAACAUUGUUAUUAUUGUGUGAAUGAUGCUGCAAUUGUUGUGUUAAGGUUAGUGUGUUGUUAGUGAGAUUUACAUGGUGGUUUAUGUAAAAACAAUGGUUUAGUUUAUGUGAUGCUAAGCAUGGAAUUAUUGAGUUUUUUUGAA